GUAUUUUAUGAAAGGAGAGAAGGUUAGCACUCCCCUUGACAAGGAUGGAAGAGGCCCUCGGGCCUGACAACAUGCAUACGGUUAAAGCAUUGCCAUCUACUUCGUGGCAUCUAACCAACGUUUGGG